ACCUGACAGGUGGACUUGUCCUAGUGCAGCUGGAACACACUCACGGCUCCCAGGUCAGUGCAGUCAGAUGAAGAUGAGAGAGUAGAGCCACAGCACUGGAUAGAGAUGGACAAUCACUUCUCUCUCAGCCAUACCCUCUUCAAGAUCGCACCCGCCUUCCUGUCCUUUCUGUGUGGCAGAGGUGACUGUGCUCUGAAGAUGAGAGCCGCUAUCCAGAAGUGAGUUCCAGGUGCGUGCUUGUGGAUAGGUCUGGGAUAUGGAAAGACACUGGAGCUGGAAGAUGCGGAUGGGAAGAAAAGAUAGGAUGCUGACCCUCCUAAAGGGGCUUGCUCACCUGUGAGGAUACCUGCACUGCAAGAUAAAGUAAAAUUCCAGAUGGAAACCAGAGACAGCCUGUUUUGAUGAUGUAGCCUUUGCUGGCAAUCCAGAAGCACGAACACGUGGGGAGAGCUGCUGUUAGAAAGUCUCCCUUGAAAUGCAAAUGAUGGCUGAUGAUACAAGUUCUGAAGUGCAAGGAGAAUGCAUCUGAUGGAGAUGCAUGGAGAGUAUGAACAUCCUGCCAGGCAAGUAACGACUGGAGAUCACAGGGUUCAUUGCUAGGUAA
ensembl:antisense Gm27008 predicted gene, 27008